UGGAAACCCUAUUCCUGGUGUAGCUGCAUUUUCCGUUUCACAGCUCAUCCUAUCAGUUGGUAUUUUAGGAUAAAAUAAAGUUUAACCAUGUGAAUGUGAAGUUGAAACCGACGGUCUGUUGACGGUCUCGCAGUGAAAGCCUGCCCUCUGCUGGCUGAAACCGUGGUGCUGGUCUUAGCUGGUUUCAGCUCGUCUUCCACUAUAAUAUUCUGCUUGUGGAAGUGGAUGUCAUCAAACACUGCAUAUUUUGGGUGUCUCUUUAAUCUGACUCACCUGAAUCAGCUCAUCAGCAUUGUCUAAAUCUCCUGAAAUGCUUGUCAAACAAGGGAACUAAACUGUGCAUUUUCAGGAGGCCUCCAUAUCCAGGACUGAAGACAUCUACUAUAAACCAACCGACAGACCAAAUGUGUUGCUCCUUGGCUUUCAGAUUGGCACAAGACUUAUCAUAUGUGAAGCAAAGGUUCCAGACAGCAGAGUUGCUGGAAGGCACUGUUGUCAACUCGUCGAUCAGCUUUACAUUCUGACAUGGAGUCUCUCUGAUGGUCUUGCAGUUCACAAGCAUCGCCAACAACGAAUCCAACCAACACAGGUUGUCCUCAUUUUUCCAGAAGAGAUGAGGUGGCACAGGAACCAGCUCUGAUGAUUCCUCAUCUACAUCCAUUCCAACGAUCUCUUCGACCUCAUCUUGAGUACUAGAUACACAAUCAUCCUUCUUGUCGCACAACUCUAAAUCCUCAUGGGUGGCAACAGCAGUGUUAUCUGGAAGGGUGCCGUCACUGACAUCAGCACCACAUGGCUCAGGUACAGCAGAUAAAACAUCCAGUUUCUCCUCUUUUGAUCGCUUUGAAGGGGAGGAUGUAUCAUCCACAUCGGACAGGGAAGAAAUGCUCCUCUUGCAU